rnacentral:lncRNA from 1 species
CAGCUUGGCCGGUGCUUGCGAGGUAAAUUACUCAGUAAUCUAAUUUCGAGCAUAAUUUCCAGAUUUUCUUUUCAAGAUAGUUCAUCUUGAUAAGUUGGUUUACAUCAUAGUUGGUUUAGCAAAAUAAUUUAUUGAGUGCCUCCAUUUAAUAGCUAAAUUAUUGCUUAUGACAACAAAGUUAUCUAUAUCAAUUUGAUAUACGCUAUACACGAGAGUAUAUUAUAUUCUCCCCUCACAAGUGGUUCAGGGUCAGGAACCAAAUAAUUUNNN